rnacentral:rRNA from 1 species
GAUGAACGCUGGCGGCGUGCCUAAUACAUGCAAGUCGAGCGAACGGACGAGAAGCUUGCUUUUCUGAUGUUAGCGGCGGACGGGUGAGUAACACGUCGAUAACCUACCUAUAAGACUGGGAUAACUUCGGGAAACCGGAGCUAAUACCGGAUAAUAUUUUGAACCGCAUGGUUCAAAAGUGAAAGACGGUCUUGCUGUCACUUAUAGAUGGAUCCGCGCUGCAUUAGCUAGUUGGUAAGGUAACGGCUUACCAAGGCAACGAUGCAUAGCCGACCUGAGAGGGUGAUCGGCCACACUGGAACUGAGACACGGUCCAGACUCCUACGGGAGGCAGCAGUAGGGAAUCUUCCGCAAUGGGCGAAAGCCUGACGGAGCAACGCCGCGUGAGUGAUGAAGGUCUUCGGAUCGUAAAACUCUGUUAUUAGGGAAGAACAUAUGUGUAAGUAACUGUGCACAUCUUGACGGUACCUAAUCAGAAAGCCACGGCUAACUACGUG